rnacentral:rRNA from 1 species
UACGUAGGGUGCAAGCGUUGUCCGGAAUUAUUGGGCGUAAAGAGCUCGUAGGCGGCUUGUCGCGUCGGCUGUGAAAACCUGGGGCUCAACCCCGGGCCUGCAGCCGAUACGGGCAGACUUGAGUACUACAGGGGAGACUGGAAUUCCUGGUGUAGCGGUGAAAUGCGCAGAUAUCAGGAGGAACACCGGUGGCGAAGGCGGAUCUCUGGGCCAUUACUGACGCUGAGGAGCGAAAGCGUGGGGAGCGAACAGG